UUAUUCAUAUCAUUCAUGUUUAGUGCUUCCUGUUUUAUUUUAUUACUAUAGCUGCUAAUCUAUUGUGCUCGGAACGACCUCCGACGUGGAAAAGUGCAACGGAACGCUCAUUUAAGUCGGAAUUUCAAGUCGGAAACGGGCAAGAUUUCGCCGACAUUAACACAACUGACGUCACAGCAACAUUGUGGCGCACACAGUGAAAUACCUUAUAUCAUUAUUUUUUAGUGUUUGUGUUAUGAAAUGUGCUGAAACAAUGCAUAACCGGGUUCUCGCAGACCCUUAAAAUGUCUUAAAAUAGAUUUUCAGGAAUAUUUCUCCACAGGAUUCUCUAUUUGUUAAUUUAAUGGUGGUUAAGGUUCUUUAUACGCCGUUUCUCUCCGCUAAUGGCACUGUGGUAAUUGAUGUUGGAAGUCGAGAAUACCGACUCGGAAUUAUGGACUUCCAACUUGCAAUGGAUUGCAGCAUAUCUCCUCUUGUUUCAGAUCACUUCUCUUCCUGCCUUUGUGUGUUUUCCCGCCAGUUCCGGCCCUGAUUAGUUUCACCUGUCCCUCGUUAGUCCAGCAGUCACCUAACCUCCUGCUCACCUGUUCCCAUUUCCCCUAUCAGUCAUUCACUACGUAUACCAGCCAAGUGCCUUUGUUCCUUGCCAGUUUGUCUUUUCACCUAGUGUUCAACAAACACAACGCUUUCAUCCAGGAGACAGCUGUCCGUGUCCCGUGCAUUAAGUUUCACUUUCACAUUACAAUCAGCUGAUCGUUCAUGUCUCGUGUUCACGUUUCAUUUUCACUUUACAAACAUAGUAGUUUUAAGCCCAACCAUGUAGUUUUUUCCUAAAUCUAACUAAGCUUUUGUUGACUAAACGUAAAGUGCACAAAUGCACCUUGGAAAUCAUAGUUAACUACUCACAGGCUUGUACCUUUGAUUUUUGUUUUUUACAUCAAAGAACCAAAUAUUUUCUAACCCAGUUGUUCAUCUUUUGCACUGAUUUUCAAAUCCAUCCAAGCUGUUGAAGAACUCCAACUAUCAUUUCCACCCCGGUUGUCCCAUUACCCCGUGUCAACAGAGACUCAGUGGCCGAUCUGGUGUGACCCGACGGUGACCUCGCCCCCACCUUGCACCUACCGGCUGCCACCAGAAAGCUGGAGUAAGCCAUCAGUAAAAUGCCUCCUCUGUAAACUACAGCAGCUCCCCCAGCAACCUGCUGGACUGGGAUGUAUGGGAUCGGGAUGGGAAGGAUUCUGGGCCCAGUGCAUAUUCCCAACACAAAAAAUGUGUAUAUUGUGUUGCUCAGUGUUUUUACUGCUAUGAUACACACUAUUUGUUCCUGUUGCAGAAUAGGAAGCUUGUUUUUUUUAUCCAGAGCCAAGUCAGUAAAAAUGAAACUGUGUUUCUUCAAUCAGACCACAUGUUUUUAAGCUUUCCUGUAGAAAUGAAUGUUAAUCCAAGUCAUUAAAUGGGCUGCGUGUUGAUUUACCGUAA